AAGGGCUCACGGUUGAACAGCACAAACCAAGCAUGAAGUCAAAGGAAUUGUCUGUUGACCUCCAAGACAGGAUUGUCUUGAGGCACAAAUCUGGUGAAGGGUACAAAAACAUUUCUGCAGCUUUGAAGGUCCCUUUAAGCACAGUGACCUC